AUGGUCAUAUCACGUUGAAACACUGGUUCUUAUUUAAUCACUAAAGCAAAGCAAAGUUGAGCCUGGUCAGUACCUAGAUGGGUGACCACUUAGGAAUACCAGGUUCUGU